rnacentral:rRNA from 1 species
AUGAACGCUAGCGGGAGGCCUAACACAUGCAAGCCGAGCGGUAGAGUCUCUUCGGAGACUUGAGAGCGGCGCACGGGUGCGGAACGCGUGUGCAACCUGCCUUUAUCUGGGGGAUAGCCUUUCGAAAGGAAGAUUAAUACCCCAUAAUAUACUGGAUGGCAUCAUCUGGUAUUGAAAACUCCGGUGGAUAGAGAUGGGCACGCGCAAGAUUAGAUAGUUGGUGAGGUAACGGCUCACCAAGUCAGCGAUCUUUAGGGGGCCUGAGAGGGUGAUCCCCCACACUGGUACUGAGACACGGACCAGACUCCUACGGGAGGCAGCAGUGAGGAAUAUUGGACAAUGGGUGAGAGCCUGAUCCAGCCAUCCCGCGUGAAGGACGACGGCCCUAUGGGUUGUAAACUUCUUUUGUAUAGGGAUAAACCUAGAUACGUGUAUCUAGCUGAAGGUACUAUACGAAUAAGCACCGGCUAACUCCGUG